UCAGGAGGUAUUAGUAAAACAUUACAUGACUUUGUCAAAGUUAAAUUAUAGGUGAAACCCCUAUAUAUCUCU
rnacentral:tRNA from 1 species